rnacentral:rRNA from 1 species
UACGUAGGGGGCUAGCGUUGUCCGGAAUUAUUGGGCGUAAAGGGCUCGUAGGCGGUCUGUUGCGUCGGGAGUGAAAACUUACAGCUUAACUGUGAGCGUGCUUCCGAUACGGGCAGACUUGAGGUAUUCAGGGGAGAACGGAAUUCCUGGUGUAGCGGUGAAAUGCGCAGAUAUCAGGAGGAACACCAGUGGCGAAGGCGACUACCUGGCCUGUUCUUGACGCUGAGGCGCGAAAGCUAGGGGAGCAAACGGG